rnacentral:rRNA from 1 species
UACAGAGGUCCCAAGCGUUGUUCGGAUUCAUUGGGCGUAAAGGGUGCGUAGGGGUUGCUGUAAGUCGGGUGUGAAAUCUCGGGGCUCAACCCCGAAACUGCACUUGAUACUGCAGUGCUGGAGGACUGGAGAGGAGAUCGGAAUUCAUGGUGUAGCAGUGAAAUGCGUAGAGAUCAUGAGGAAGACCAGUGGCGAAGGCGGGUCUCUGGACAGUUCCUGACACUGAGGCACGAAGGCCAGGGGAGCAAACGGG